CAGCGUCGGGUUUCUAAGUCAACGACGUACGCGGGCUUUCUGUAAUAUUAUUUAGUCAGAUUUCGUCUCAGGAUCCGCAUUUUAUACUGCAUCGUCACAGUACUAACACGUAGCACGCAAGGAAUCGUCCUGCUGGACCGCCCGGCCUGGGUAGGUCUUAUAGGCGGGCCGAACCGGCGCCGGACGCAGAAGCUGCAUGGAUUUUGGAAUAACUUUCGUGAAACUAGAGGUAGAUGUUGGAGCCCAGUCAGUGAAAGAGGGAGAGCUGUCCUCUGAUAAAAUGGAUGAAGAGGAAGGGCUACGGGAGGAAGAGGAGGACAGAGGGAGCGGGGAGCCAUCAGAGGAGUUGCAGUUUUGGCCGGAGGAGGCGCGAGCCGGCGACUGGGGGCAAUGGAUGACGGA